GUGGCAACCGGCAACGUCCCUGCCGGCGGCGGCUCUGCUGCCUGGGGCCGGGACUGAGCAGGACAGCGGUGUGGCACAGGACCUCUGCUUGACCCUGCUAGAGAGUGGGGUGCCUAAGAAAGAAACCUGCAAAUUUAAGCCCCUGAAUCUGUAGACCGACUCUUAAGCACAGCGGGAUCUAACCUGUGCUGGCUGAAAUGCCAGGCAACUCGAGUUCAUCUUCAUCAGUCCCGCCUCUUCGGAUGCUGGCUGCGCUGCUCGCAACUGGGGGGGAAGCGCUACAUGCAGGGAGUCUCGCUAGGAGCUGGACGCCUUCCAGCUUCCAUCUCAUACAUUUUCACAAUAAGCGGAAAGGCGAGUGUCAAUAACCGCACUUUCCCUGUAAGAACCGAGAAGGGAAGUGACUUGCCCCAGCUCCCCGGCUCGCAGCAGAGCUGAGACAGGAAGACAGGUUUUCUGAAUAUCACACGAAGCUGGGCAGGGCCUCCUGUUACUGCUUAGAAACCAAGGGGCCUGAGCCGUGGGAAGCUUUCUUUCAGCAUGGUCCCCCACUUAGAGGUGACUGUCACCCUCCCACUAAAUGGCGAGGAAAUAAAUCCUUGGCAUGCAGCCCCUGAAAGGUUGUCCCAAACGGGGAACACCCGAGGCGGAGUCCAGCCCUUUCCUGCACAGGGAGGUCUUUACAACACGGAUUUUCCAAGGCAAUCGGAUGCCUCUGCAGUCUAAUCUCAAAAGUAUUUUCUUACUGAAAAGAAAUCUGCGCUUUUGUCUGGCUCACCCCCAGAACGCAAUCCCAGAGUUUGUAAGUCAAAGCUACAUAUUGACUUGAUUGCAGAUUGCUGUCUCUGAUGCAAAAAGGUUGAUCUUUGUAAAGCUGGUCUUCGAAGAACCAGACUAGCCUGGAUUCGGUGCGUCGCAUAUGUUUUAUGCCUCAGCAGCUGAACCAGAGUCACUGCAGUAAACUGAGUUCAUCGGUUUGGCCAGAUCCUGGACUUGCGGGUACAGGGGAAGAAGAGCGGCCACCUCCCACAGCGGGACCGAGGGACCCGUGUGCCCACCUCCCCCUUUGGGUACCUGACUGGGGCCACCGCUUUGGGGUAAAUCAGUACAGAGAUCAGUGUGGGCCGUAAGGUGGAGAGGGUCCCUUGAUUCAAGGAGCAGAGAACCACGGAAGCCAAAGAGAGGGUUUCCCACCUGUGAGACCCUUGGGCCAGAAAGCCGGUCGGGGCUUGAGGCAGCUGCACGGAUGGGCAGUUCUCUUUGCUCUCUUGUGGCUGUACCAUCCCAUGCUGUGCUUUCUCUUGCCUUUCACAAGAUGUGUCUGCUCUAUUUUCCUGUCUUUAUUAACAGGCCGGUUCCUCAAUCCAGAUGCCAGAAAGAGCUAGUCCAGAAGCCUUUGCUUACGGACCUGGUGACAUGGCCUUUUUGGGUAGCGCUCUUGGCCAAAGGCAUCGUCACGAGCCAUUAGGCAGCUCAUGGAUAGGCUGCCUCAGGCCAGGUGCCCGCCUCCGUCCCCUCAGUGGUCACUGAUGCACAGACACCGCCUAAUGUGACUCUCCUGAUCCAGGGGGCUGUGGCCAGGGCAGUUCAUACCAGAAGCAAGCAUUAGGGAACAAGCUGUGAGACUUGUGUGUACCUUGAGUCCAGGGCCGUCACCCAGAACUCAGCUUGGCCAGCGGCCCCCAGAUUUCCUCAUCUGUAAAUAGGGGGAUGGUGACACCUGGUUCAUGGGGUCGUCGUGAGACUUAAACCGACUGAUGGACAAUAUUAUACUAGCGAUAUUAUUAUCAGAAAGGGAUAACCCCAAGCCAUUUUGACCCAUCUGGCUUCUCAGACAGCCUGGCCAUUCAUCUAAAGAGAAAAACAGCGGCAGAAAGCAAGUAACCAGUGCGGACAGCUCGGGGAUGGGCAGCUCCUGCUUUCCUGAGGGAGGAGGGGUCAGGGCAGCCAGGAGUCCUGUGCCCGGGGUCCCACAGGACUGCGGGUGCGUGGACUGUGAGUGCGGGACAGUGUGUGUGUGUGUGUGUGUGUGGAAUGAGUGGCAGAUAAGAGACGACCCCUCCUCUUCCUCUGUUCAGAGCCUCUCCUGUCCACCUUUUCACCACGGCCCUCUCUACCUUUCGUUUUCAUUUUCUUGGAGCACAGCUGAUUUACAGCGUCGUGGUAGAUUCGCAUGCACAGCCACGGGAUUCAUGUGUGUAGGAAGAGGUAUGUUCUUUUUCAUAUUCUUUUCCCGCAGAGGUUGUUAUAAGCUAUUGAGUCGAGGUCCCCGGGCUACACAGCAUAUCCUCGUUGCUCAUCUAUUUCCUAUACUGUAGUGUGUGUGUGUGUGCAGCCCGACCUCUUAAUUUAACCUCUCGCCCCUUCCCCGCAGUGGGUAAGCGUUUUCUGUGUCUGUGGGUCUGUUUCUGUUCAUUUGUGUAUAUACGUGUUUUUAGAUUCCACAUAGGUGAUAGCACAUGGUCUUUGUCUUUCUCUCUACGUUUCUUCAAAGAGAAAGAGAAAAGUAGACAGGACAUUUAAAAAGCAAUGCAGAGUUGAGGGAGUUCCCAUCAUGGCUCAGUGGUUAACAAAUCCGACUAGGAACCAUGGGGUUGCGGGUUCCAUCCCUGGCCUGGAUCAGUGGGUUAAAGAUCUGGUGUUGCCGUGAGCUGUGGUGUAGGUCGCAGACGCGGCUCGGAUCCCGCGUUGCUGUGGCUCUGGCGAAGGCCGGCGGCUACGGCUCCGAUUCGACCCCCAGCCUGGAAACCUCCACAUGCCAUGGGUGCGGCCCUAGAAGAGACAAAAAAAAAAAAAAAAAAAAAAAAA
rnacentral:lncRNA from 1 species